CACAAGCACAUGCUUGGUCAAUACAGGUUUAUUGAAUUAUUUGCAAUACAGAGCCAAUCUGUUUCAGAGGUCGGUUGUUAGGGUUUUCUCUUCAGCAAUUCCUCAGUAAUAAUAAUCAGGAUUAUUUCAGAUGACUGAUUAGUAGCAGAACAUCCAGAACAGAGAAGUUUACAUAAUCGUAUGAGUGAUGGACACAAAGGCUGUUCUCAU